GUUUAUGUGAUCAAGCAAUUGGAAUUCAAGGAGAUUUAUCACUGCCUGUCCUCGGCAGCAGAACUGGAAGAGUAGUGCUUGAUAAUGUAUGCUGCUAAUGUCUGAGAUGACUGAGUCUACCUCUACCGCACAAGCACGGAUUGGCUUCAAUCUUCCUUUAUGAUUUGACUGUCAAAGCAAUGUUUCCUUGCUUAGUCGAGCCAACGGAAAGGUUUAAGCCUGUGAGUCUAUGGAGAUGGAGCAAUGUGAAGAUUUAAUUCCAUAUUUGGAAGAAAGAUGGCACUAUGGUUCUGUGAGUCCCUCGAACAUUCUGAUGAAGCAGCUCAGCUGCAAAGGGAAAAAGAGGAGGAUGCAGCUUCAUAGAGAAACCCAGGUUUUUUUUUUCCUUUUUUUUUUUUUUUAAUUUCAGAAGUGGUACUUAUUCAGAUUUCUGUUCUCCAGAAGACCCCCUCAUAUUGAAGAUUCAGACCUCAAAAAGCUUCUACUACAGCUCGCUAGGUCAGAUGGUCUCUGGCUCUGGUGUCUUUGUCAUGUCUCAAAUCUAACAGUGGACCUCACCACCCUCAAGGCAAAGUGGGAAAAUGGGCCUGACGUUCCCCCGUUUUCUGAGGAAGAGAAAACUGCUUCCCAAAGGAGAUUUAUUUCAGGGACCAAUAAGUUUCCCAAAGGGCCAAGUAUCUAUGAGAAAGUCAAGCUGACUGUCAGUGGGGAAGAAAGAAUGGAAUCAGAACCUGAAAUGCCUGUUGGAACUUCUGGACUUCAGAGAGCUAGGUUUGGAGAAAAGACUUGGGAUUGGAGAACAUAAAUAAAAACAAGAUUGCAGGACUUACGUCAUCCUACUACCCUUUGGCAUCUACGGUUUCUGAAGAGCAAUCACUUGUUAAUCUUAUGGUGGAGCCUUUGUGAUGAGAGUAACUUGUAUUUUGUUUCUAAAUUCUUUGAGUUUCAACAA